GACGAACGCUGGCGGCGUGCCUAAUACAUGCAAGUCGAGCGGACAGAAGGGAGCUUGCUCCCGGAGGUUAGCGGCGGACGGGUGAGUAACACGUGGGCAACCUACCCUGUAGAUCGGGAUAACAUCGAGAAAUCGGUGCUAAUACCGGAUAAUCAUUUGAAGUGCAUGCUUCGAAUGUAAAAGAUGGCUCCGGCUAUCACUACGGGAUGGGCCCGCGGCGCAUUAGCUAGUUGGUAAGGUAAUGGCUUACCAAGGCAACGAUGCGUAGCCGACCUGAGAGGGUGAUCGGCCACACUGGGACUGAGACACGGCCCAGACUCCUACGGGAGGCAGCAGUAGGGAAUCGUCCGCAAUGGACGAAAGUCUGACGGAGCAACGCCGCGUGAGUGAUGAAGGUUUUCGGAUCGUAAAGCUCUGUUGUUAGGGAAGAACAAGUGCCGUUUGAAUAAGGCGGCACCUUGACGGUACCUAACCAGAAAGCCACGGCUAACUACGUGCCAGCCGCCGCCGUAAGAC
rnacentral:rRNA from 1 species